UCUCCCCGUAAUGUACGGAGGCAGAGGGAAAGGGCUCCGGCCCCCUCAGCGUCACGUCUUCGGUGCCGGAGGCUUCCAGUCCGCCAGUUCUAUCCUUAAGCGCCCGGACACGG